GGGAAUGUGAGGUGAAGACAAGACACAUGGAGGACAGUCAUGUGAUGUCAGAGGCAGAGACUGAACGGCUGAAGCUACAAGCCAAGGGACAUCCAGGGCCGCCAGCACCAGAAGCCGGAAAAUGCAAGAAGGGCUGUCCCUCAGAGCCUCAGAGGAAGCGCGGCCCUGCCGACAUCUGAUCGCAGACUUCUGCCCUCCAGAACCGAGCUCGGGGAGGAGAGGUGAAGGAGCACCGCACUGAGAGUCGGACCGAUGUUCUAACGGAAAUAACAAGCGGCUCACGGAGCCAGAGGAAGGCGGGCCAGGAGCAUCGCCUGUGGCUGGAGCGUCGCCCCGGGGACUCAGGCUGCUUUACCCAGACGCUUAGCCGAGCAUCUGGAAGCCAGCAGACGAAGCACCGCCCGUGAAUGUGUCCCAGCUGGUCGGCCUGCAGAGCCUCACCCCCCCGAGGCACGUGAGGGGGGAGACCGUGCCCUUGAGCGGAGACGAAGCCCUGGAGGCAGACUUUGCAACUAGAUUGAUGCGUCAAAUAUUUAAUCCUGGUAUUUGAAAGAGAAAACCAGGAAGCUUGGGCCCCGUGAGCUGGAGCGGAGCAGGAAUAGCCCCAUUGUGCAAAUGGAAUACUAAGAACAAGAUUAAAUCACUUGCUUUCGGCUACAAUUCAGCCUUCCCAGAGCAACACUGACGUGGUGCAGGGACCCACCGCUCACCCUCCGCACCCCCUCCGGCCCAGCUGGAGACAAGAGCCCCGAGGACUCUGCCUCUCCGCCCCGUCGUACCAGGCCACCUGGGCACACGCCCAAGUUCAAAGGAUGAAGAGGAAAGAAACGGCCCGAAUGCCGUAGGCAACCUUCCAGGAGCGCCAACGUGCCGGCCCCGCAGCCGGUUGGCAGAUGGGAAAGUGUUAUCUGGCUGGGAGGCUUCGGCAGCCCUUGCGGCUGCUCUCCAGACGCCCACGCCUGUGUCCAGCUGGACCUGAAGCCCUCCCGUCCCCGGAGGGGCUUGGGCUUCGGGCACGUGUUUCUUUGGGCAUCAGCAGCAACAGCAAACAAAUCAAGGUGCUCAGCCGUCUGUUCAGAGCCUGGUGACACCUUGGCCUCGAGUGGGCUCUUAGGGCAGCGGAAUCUGCCUCAGGACCACGCGGAGAUGCAAUGCCCUCCACUUGGCUUCUCUGCCUGGAACUGGGACAAGGGGCAGCCUCGGGCUGGACAUUCAAGUCCGGGCCUCUGCCCACGUUCCCCUCAUUUCUGGGUGCCUGCUGGCUCUCUGCAGGCAGAGGACCCCCAGCACCGGCACCCGGGCUCAGGAGGACUGAGCACUCCCAGCAACAGUACUGAGUGUCUGGCUCUUGCCUCCUAAGCCAGGUCGGCUCAUCCUCGGGGCGAACGCAGGUGCUCAACAGCACGCGGCCCUGCGGCGGGUCACACCGGCGCUGACAGUCACCGAGGGCGCCUCCCCAGCCUCCAAAAAAUAAAAUAAAUAACGUAAACCUGGGACUGCCUGGGGUGCCCCUGUCUCUGGGCUCUGAUGCUGGGACACCGUGGGACAGUGUGCACCCCUGCUGGCCCCUCGGCCUAGGGCAUACUCCUGGUGCCGUUGUGUCUCAGGGCCAAGGUCUGAGGGAUUCCUGAGUCAGGCAGGGCACCUCAGGUUCAGAUGCUGUGAGCUGAGUGAGCAGCCAAAGCUCAGCUCCGAAUCAGGCUGUGGGCAGCCUGACCUGCGUGCAGGGCCCACGCGGUUUAUGCACAGAGGCUCAGCGCUCCAGGUCGGCGGGUGGUACGUGCUGUCCAGCCCUCGCCGAGGGCCUUCUGCAGAGAUGCUCACUGAGCAUGACUCGCUGUGAAAUGACCCGAGCUCCGCACUGGGGGAAUGCAAAGGGGUCAGGCAUCCUGCGGACAGACACAGCACAAGCUGGCCAGCAAGCCUGGCAGAAAAGGGGCAACAGCGCUAUGAGAUCUC